UUAUGUCUGCAGAGGAUUUUUAAAUAAACACAACCGCAGUCAGGAGAUCACUAUAACUCUAACUGAAGAUUUACAGAUGAGACGUACACUCAUGAACUUUGGAGUCAGUUUCUCAAGUCCAGUACAGAAGCCAGUGUAUUUAUAUUUUUCCAGAUCCACCCUGUUAGCUUGAAGGCUACAACGACAACCAAAGUGCAGGGAUAGGGCUGUCGUUUGCUUCUAUAUAGAUGCAAAAACAUAUUGCUUUACAGCAAGAGAUUCUGAAGUCUAUAAAUGUUUCUAUCUGCAAAUUUAUUCCAAAACAUAUCAAACUUAUUAAUUUUCCAGCCAAGUUUUAAAGGGGCAGGGUCACGGUUUUGGUCAAAUUUUAUUUUUAUGUUUUUAUUAUUUACAAUGCUUUAGAAAUGCAUUUCUAAUGAGCAAAUUAAAUUUGAGAGUCAUUCGUAGAGUUAAAAGCAAGAUACAGGGCUCACAAUUCUGUGUCAUGUAAACAAGGCUCGUGCCUUCUUUUUGUUUACAUAGGUUCAAUAUACCAGUAAAAAAUCUUUUUCCAGCUUAUUUGUCUAUCUUUUUAUUUUUUUAAGCAUAGAUAAACAGUUCUUAACGUUUAACACAUUUAUUUUUGGUUUAAUUAACACUGAAAUAUUUACUUCAACGUUCAAAUGUAAACAAGCGCUUUGUUUACAUAGCGAAGAAUUUCAAGCUCUGUAAUUCGCUUAUAACUCAACAAAUGACACUAAAAUUUCGGUUGCCUAUUAAAAAUGCCUUUCUGAAGCAUUGUAAAUUUUAAAAUCGGAAAAAUAAUUUUUGACCAAAAUCGUGACUAUGCCCCUUUAAUCUUAAGUGAUGUAAGACUUCAUUAGAAUUUUUUUUAUUUUACUUCCUAUUUAAAUUUUAAUGCUUAGUUCUGGUGUCAAAAUAUCUUGAUAUAUAUGUCAAUAUUUUUGGAAUGAACAAAACACCUUUGUUGUUAAAGUAUCAAUCUAUACUACUAUAUUAAAAUAAUAGACUCGAAUUUUUGGUCUUUAAUACCGAGAAAUCGGAAGAAUACUGUCUUUUGUUUUAUAUAUUUUAAACAUCAUUGGUACUUGAAGAUUACCAAUUUGUUUUUAUUUUUUCUCAAUUAAGCUUCGCUAAUUAAUAAUUAACGAAAAUUCCUCAAAAAAUCCCGGAAAUCACCUGAAUUUUUUGGAUUUUACAAUCUUGCGCUUGCGCAAAACAUUCACGCUAACGGGAUCUUUAGUUUAUGUUUCCACAAUAUCAUAUCUGCAUGAAUAAACUCAGAAAUGGUAAUACAAA